AGUUUUUGAAGCAUGGGGUUCUAGACACAUUGCCAAGGGGAUAUCUCAGCGGUGAAAUGACGGAUUUGAAAAAUUCCUUCGCUGUUUGACGAGGAGAAACACAGCUAACUGAGGAACGAGUGAUUCAGUAGAGAGAGGCAUGGACCCGACUCCAAGGAGAAGAAGAAGGAGUAAAGAGAAUGACCCUCCUGAUAUGUCACAAGAGCCUGCCAGGUAAUAGGACCCCAGACCUCAGUGCAAGACUCCAGAGGGGUCCUGGUACAGGAAGAAACAAAGUGAAGAGAGAGAGGAAACAAAACACAGCUCUGUGGUACAAUAACAAGGGGAAAUAGUACCAGCAUUUACUGGACCUGCUGUGCCAAAUGGAAAGUUUACAUUGCUCAAUAAAAUGAUUCAUAUAAUCUAAGUGAUACAAUGAAGACUUUGGGCACCUGUUGCAGCUGGAGAGUGUUUGUCAACAAUUCAUCUGAAGCUUCAGAAAACCGUACUGUCAAAUCCCAGGCUGGGGUUACACACUGUUUAUACAUAGAACCUUAACAAUAGAUUUAUGCAGAGCCCUCUCCUGAUCUAAACAUUAUUUUUGUUUUCCAGACUUGGUCGUACUUGGUUUCCUCUCCCUACUCAAGUGGGGGGCCCUAUUACCUGUGACACAGGAAGGAAGUCAGUGGGGAGAGGAAACAAAGUAACGUUCUGGGCAGGAUAAAAACUCAGAGUGAAAAUAAAGUAGACUGGAAAAGAAAAAGAAAUAACCAGAGAGUGUACUGGUCCUGCUGUGUCACAAUAACAUGAACUCUGACAUCAGUUACAUUAUUCAUAAUCUCUAAGAGAAAACCCUUUAGUGCGGUGAUACAGUGUAGAGCUGGGGAGUGUCUGUAUAUCUGCAAGCACUUACUGAUGAGACUAUGCAACAGGCAGUGCUGUGUGAUGCUCUGCGUUACGGAUUCUGUCUCCUGUCGGUGAGAUGAGAUGAGGUUAAAAGCUCUAUAACCACGAUGGGACCACAGGACCACAGAUCUGACACACUUUGAUAGAGGGCUGAUUAGAGGUGCUUGGUUGGCAGGUGCUUCUGUUUUCAAGAAGGCACAGUCAAGGAACAGUCUCUAAAGUGAUGUGACUCUCUCUAUGUAUGGGCCACUCUGACUUGACUGCAGAUUUCCACCCCCAAUACAACACAACCUGAAGGAAUCAGAGGCUGGUAAUCAUUGAGGAAUGGUCCCGUAUCAUUCCAGCACAAUUUAAAAAGCACCUUGCAGAAUCGCUACCUGCCACGUCCAAUCAGUGCCGUGCUGGCUGCCCAUGGAGGCCCUACACCAUAUCGACACUGCUGUGGCAGGUGUUUUUGUUUUUUGCACAAAUAAUGAAAAACCUUUUUCAAUAAGCAGAUUAAUUUAAAAUACAAAAUAAAUGACCCAGACAAUGAAGUGUAAAUCAUGUGUGUUUAAUGUGAUUUGUCCUGAUUUCUUUACAGCUAAUAUACAGUUUUAUAUUCUCAUGUAUUGCAGAUUUCUUAUCAUCUAUUCAGUAUUUAUAACAAACUAGUAAAUCCUGUUACUACCCUGUAUGACUUGUUCUAUAAUGCAUUAUAAACUCAUAUUUUAAGCAUCUAUAACGUGUUAAUAAACUAUUUAGAAAUGACACGUUCAUGUAAAGUGUCACCAUAAACUUCAGCAUCAAGUUCAAACGCUAUUCAGCCAACAGGAUUCUACUAUAUACAGGAAUCUGCUAGAAACUAUACUGACAUGCCUUUGACAUGGCAA